rnacentral:tRNA from 1 species
GAUCUGUGGCGCAACUGGUUAGCGCACCUGACUCUUAAUCAGGGGGUUGUGGGUUCGAUCCCCACCAGGUCC